UUGCUUGCUUUGGCAGCACAAAUAUUGGAACUAUACAGAGAAAAUUAGCUUGACCCCUGUGCAAGAAUGACAUGCAAAUUCAUGAAGCAUUCCAUGUUUUU
rnacentral:snRNA from 1 species